rnacentral:rRNA from 1 species
AGUGAACGCUGGCGGUAGGCCUAACACAUGCAAGUCGAACGGCAGCACAGUAAGAGCUUGCUCUUACGGGUGGCGAGUGGCGGACGGGUGAGGAAUACAUCGGAAUCUACUUUUUCGUGGGGGAUAACGUAGGGAAACUUACGCUAAUACCGCAUACGACCUACGGUUGAAAGCAGGGGAUCUUCGGACCUUGCGCGAUUGAAUGAGCCGAUGUCGGAUUAGCUAGUUGGCGGGGUAAAGGCCCCCCAAGGCGACGAUCCGUAGCUGGUCUGAGAGGAUGAUCAGCCACACUGGAACUGAGACACGGCCCAGACUCCUACGGGAGGCAGCAGUGGGGAAUAUUGGACAAUGGGCGCAAGCCUGAUCCAGCCAUACCGCGUGGGUGAAGAAGGCCUUCGGGUUGUAAAGCCCUUUUGUUGGGAAAGAAAAGCAGCAGGUUAAUACCCCGCUGUUCUGACGGUACCCAAAGAAUAAGCACCGGCUAACUUCGUG